rnacentral:rRNA from 1 species
GCGCAGCAGGCGCGAAUCCUUCGCAAUGCAGGAAACUGCGACGAGGGAACUCCAAGUGCCUACGCUCAGCGUAGGCUGUUCUCAAGCCUAGAAAGCUUGAGGAGUAAGGGCUGGGUAAGACGGGUGCCAUCUGUGGUAGCAGUCAAUAGAUUCGAUUUGUUACUGCAAGGCAUAAGCCGCCGCGGUAAUACCCGCAGCCCAAGUGGUGGCCGCUUUUAUGGGCCUAAAGCGUCCGUAGCCGGCCCGGUAAAUGCCUGGGGUAAAUCGUGGAGCCCAACUUCACGAAUUCCGGGUAGACUGCCGAGCUCGGGACCGGAAGAGGGAGAGGGUACUUCAGGGGUAGGGGUGAAAAUUUCCUUCCAUUAACGCUUUGUCGCGAAGCGGAAAGGGUUAUCACAAUCCUGUAAUCCCUGGAGGACC